ACGCUACCCUCGAUCGAGCUCUCUCUGCGGCAAACCCCUCCCUCCUUCCCACCCAAGGGGGAAAGCUCCGCCGCCAUCGUCGUGCUGCUCCCCGUUCCCGCGGAUCCAUCCGGGGCUCUGGGUUGAUCUACCUCGCCGGUGACGUACCCUUAUCCUUAGCCUACACUGCUUUGCUUGUUCCGAGAUUUUAUCAUACUGUUAAACUUUUGUUUUCUUACACAAAUCCUUUGUCUGGGAAAUGUAACCAACCAAUGAAUGGAAUCCCCAAUCUGUGCAGUUUCCUGCUGUUUCCUGCUGAUUCAUUUGCUGUUUUGGUAGUGUGCUUAUAUUUCAUCAAAAAAAAAAUUCUAGAAUUUUGCGGGUGUUCAACUGAAUCCCAUGCCCCUUGUUAGGUCCUCUCCUGAUCUGAUCUGGGAGAACACUUCGGAUUGCAAUUCCCUUUACAACCAAUGGCAUGUCUGAAGUGGGACAACAUUUCUUUUCUUUAUUUUUUUUAAGAAAAAAAAAGUGGAACCAUAUCAAUUGUUCACUAUCAAUGCAGUGAUAAUGGUGAAGCAAGGCAUGGAAUGAUUAAUUUGAACUAUUAGAUGGAUCUUGGACUGCUAACACUGACGUAAUUAAAAUCAGAAAUGAAGUUAGGAAGGUCAGCUGUUUUUUUCCUUACCUGACUAGCUGACAUUUCCAUGAUUGCAGUCAUGACACCAUCAGUUUUGCACGCUGUCAGUAAUUCUAGAACAAAACUGGGCUGAAUGGCUGAUGACCUAUAUAUGAGUCCGUUUGCUGACCAGUUCUUGAUGUAUUGCACUUGACAAUAAAUUCAUCUGCUGACCCAUUCAAGUUGUAUUGCACUUGACAACAAACAAAUUUAAAACAAAGGUUGAUGCCUUUUUGGUAGAGAAAUUGACUGAAUACUGAUGUGGUUAGUGCUUCUUUGCUCAUGUCAUGUUCUGAAUUGAGGUCUAGGUGAGUGCAUCUUUUCAAGCCACUUUUGACUAAAUAUGCAUUGCUUGCAUCAUUUGUCAUGUGCAGUUGAAAUUCCUGCAGACAUAGGAUAGCAGCUGUAUGAAAACAUAUAUAUUCUCUAGACUGUUAUUUAGAUUUGUACAGCCUAGAUUAUAUAUAUAUUUUUAAAUGCUUGUGCCUUUUGUCAAGAAAAAGGCCCAAAUAGACUAGUAUCGAAUCUAGUUGUUGGAAAUAUUUGAAGGUUGAACUGCAAUCUGUGCCAAGCAUGUCUGUCCUCCAUCCUCAUUCAAUUGUGCUCAUACAUGGUAUUUUGCAAGAUCAUUGUGCUUUAUAAAGGCGUGUACUUGUUUGGAAAUUCGGUAUUAAUAAUGGGAACGGUAUUGUUUUUAUCAUAGACUAAUCAGAAUAAUAUGAACUCUUCUUGAGCUGAAAAUAAACAUGCAAUGUAUGCAUCCCCUGUUUCCUCUUUUCCUCUGAUUGAAUGCUUAACAAGCUUACAGUGACAAACAGUGAGUCGGCAUAAAUUUUGGUACAGUUGAGAAGUUCUUGUGUUGGACAUAUCCCUCCUCCCCUAGAAAUAAGAAGCUGGUAUUAGUCUCCUUAUUUAUUUUAUGUACUUCUGCUUUCUUCUAUUGCAUAAAGGAAGGGAACAAUAAACAUCUGCCUUUUAUUCUGUUUCUUUUUCUGAGAAACUUUUACCACCCUCAUGGGCCAUCAAAUACAUUAUCUUCCUUUUUUGUGUAUGUUAGAUGGUUAGCGCAUACUGUGUGCUAUUAAAUGAUUCUUUGCACCAUGAGCGUGGACACUGAAAUUGAAGUCUUCUCUGCAGCUUAAGUUCACUAUGUCUGGAAUGCCAUCUGAUGAGGCAACUGGUCAAGUGAGGCUCGAAGGAGAUGUUUCUG
rnacentral:sRNA from 1 species